UACGUAGGGUGCGAGCGUUGCCCGGAUUUAUUGGGCGUAAAGGGCGCGUAGGCGGUCACGCACGUCCGUUGUGAAAUCGCUCGGCUCAACUGGGCGGGGUCAGCGGAUACGGCGUGGCUGGAGCAAGCUAGGGGGCAAUGGAAUUCCCGGUGUAGUGGUGGAAUGCGUAGAUAUCGGGAGGAACACCAGUGGCGAAGGCGGUUGCCUGGAGCUUUGCUGACGCUGAUGCGCGAAAGCGUGGGGAGCGAUCCAG
rnacentral:rRNA from 1 species